CCUACGGGAGACAGCAGUGGGGAAUAUUGCACAAUGGGGGAAACCCUGACGCAGCGACGCCGCGUGAGCGAGGAAGUACUUCGGUAUGUAAAGCUCUAUCAGUAGGGACGAAAAAAGACGGUAUCUGACUAGGAUGCCCCGCCUAAAAACGCGCGCCCAGCCGCGGUAAUAUGCAGGGGGCACGCGUUAUCCGGGUUUACUGGGGGUAAAGGGAGCGUAGAGGGCAAGUCAAGCCAGAAGUGAAUGGUCAGGGCUUAACCCUGUGCAUGCUUUUGAAACUGGGGUGCUAGAGUGCAGGAGAGGUAAGUGGAAUUCCUAGUGUAGCGGUGAAAUGCGUAGAUAUUAGGAGGAACACCAGUGGCGAAGGCGGCUUACUGGACUGUAACUGACGUUGAGGCACGAAAGCGUGGGGAGCAAACAGGAUUAGAUACCCGUGUAGUC
rnacentral:rRNA from 1 species